UGACCUUCCCGUGGUCGGGGGUAUCCGGCGCUGAACUUUGAAUCCUCUGUGUGUGUUCUCGGUCUCACUUGGGUAAAUUUAGGAGUCUGCAAAGAGCCGUUAUGGUUAAUCACAGUGGUCCAUCCUCCAGGCUUCAUUUUCUCCUUGUGGAGGUGAUCGCCAAUGAUAGUUCCGUUCUCCUCUGCUUGCACAGGCCACACUGCAUGCCCACACUGCAGCAGGGGUCGGCACAGCGGGCUGUCCCUCGCGCUGAGCACAGCACCUCUAUCUCAGGCUUGUGACUUCCAGGGACAACGGGACUUUAUAAAUCCUGGUUGGGUUUCCUCUUUGUUGUUUCUUAUUAAAACUAAAGCUGUAAAUUGUGUUAAAUAUUGCUCAGAACCUAUUAAAUAGACCUUUUUCCUUUUUUUUUUCUUUUAGGGAUUUCCUAGGUUGUUGGGGUCAUUACCUUGCAUUCCUCUAGUAGCAGAUACACUACUUUCUUUGUCCUUUUGGGCUGCUUUAGCGAAGUACCACCGAUCUGGUGGCCUAUAAACAAUGGAAAUUUAUUUCUCACAGAUACGGAGGGUUUAAUUCAAGAUCAGGGUGCCACCAUGGGUGAGUGAGGGCCCACUUCCUGAAAGGAAAUGAGAGAACCAAGCAAGACUUGACCAAAGUGACUCCAUCUCAAGAGGCUAAAACUAACCCCAAGUCAGUGUCACAGUCAGUGUCACAAGUCAGUUACUAAGAAAAACCACAAACUUACCGAAAAACCCCCUCUUGAAAGGCAUUACACAAACAGAAAAAAGGGGAACUAAUCGUGGCGACCCCCCAAACGACCAAAUCAGCUUGAGACAAACCAGCCCUAGUUAAAGGUCAACCUAUCCCAGUUUUGCCUGGAAGGAAACUCCCUAACUGCUUCUCCUGUGUGUAUAAAAAUCCUGCUAAAACAUUCACAGGGGCUCCCGAACCAAGUCCCGCUGCGUCGGGCCGGUUGGGUGCCCAAGCUCGAGCUUGUAUUGCUUUAAUAAAGGCUCUUUGUCUUUACAUGC